UACGUAGGGUGCGAGCGUUGUCCGGAAUUAUUGGGCGUAAAGAGCUCGUAGGCGGUCUGUCGCGUCUGCUGUGAAAACUCGGGGCUUAACCCCGGGCCUGCAGUGGGUACGGGCUGACUAGAGUGCGGUAGGGGAGACUGGAAUUCCUGGUGUAGCGGUGAAAUGCGCAGAUAUCAGGAGGAACACCGGUGGCGAAGGCGGGUCUCUGGGCCGGAACUGACGCUGAGGAGCGAAAGCGUGGGGAGCGAACGGG
rnacentral:rRNA from 1 species